AGAGACGAAGGUGAAGCUUAUGUUGGGAUGUGCCUGGCUCCCUGUAUGCCACUCAUCUAUAGCAACAUUCCUUCCUGAUGAGGUUGCCUAGGAUGGAUGGCGUGCACGGAGCCAAGCAUAUCCCCCUUGAUCCCAACCGUCUCUUCUCAU